CGAAGUGGCUUAGAUGAUCGCUCUCAGCAAGGUCGAUUUGAUCUUUCGGGGGGAGGAAAGUCCGAGCUCCGCAGGGCAGGGUGGUCGCUAACGGCGACUGGGGGCGACCCUAAGGAAAGUGCCACAGAAAAUAAACCGCCCGCCAUCCUUUGGAUGGCAGGUAAGGGUGAAACGGCGAGGUAAGAGCUCACCGCUUCGAUGGUGACAUCGAAGGCAUGGUAAACCCCACCCGGAGCAAGACCAAAUAGGAGAGCUAGCAGGAUGAUCACAAAUCGUUCCUGCGAAGGGCGGCCCGCCCGGCGCUCUCGGGUAAGGUCGCUAGAACCGGCUGGCAACAGACGGUCCAGAGGAAUGAUCAUCACCCUGAUUUCGGUCAGGGAACAGAACUCGGCUUAUGAGCGACUUCGACUU
rnacentral:RNase_P_RNA from 1 species